rnacentral:rRNA from 1 species
AUCUCUGUAGAGUCUGCAUAUCAAUAAGCGGAGGAAAAGAAACUAACUAGGAUUCCCCUAGUAACGGCGAGUGAAGCGGGAAGAGCUCAAAUUUGAAAUCUUAAAGGUUUUCCCUUGACGAAUUGUAGUUUAAAGAAGUGUUUUCUGUUGAGUGUUUUGGUAAAAGUUCUUUGGAAUAGGACAUCAUAGAGGGUGAGAAUCCCGUAUUUGACCAUUUACUUUCAGCUGUGUGAUACACUUUCAAAGAGUCCGGAUUGUUUGGGAAUGCAGUCCAAAAUGGGUGGUAAAUUUCAUCUAAAGCUAAAUAUUGGCGAGAGACCGAUAGCGAACAAGUACCGUGAGGGAAAGAUGAAAAGAACUUUGAAAAGAGAGUUAAACAGUACGUGAAAUUGUCAAAAGGGAAGCGUUUGACACCAGUGUUGUUUUUCCGAAAAUCAAUUACGAAUGGCUUGAUUCUGUGUUGUAUUGACCUUAUCAGCUUUCUUCACUUUUUUCGAGUCUUUCUUAAUGCACUUUUCGGUUAACAAGUCAACAUCAAUUUCUUUUGUUGUAAAAGAGUAUUCGGAAGGUGGCUUUCUUUUCGGAGAAAGUGUUUAUAGCCCUAUACUUCUACAAUCGGAGAGAUUGAGGUCUGCAGCGUAGAUCCUUCGGGGUUAGAUACAUUUGUGCUAAGUUAUAGCCUUUCAUAGGACAACUUGUUGACUAUGAUCAGUCAUGUAGCUUACUCGCUUAUGCUAUUUUACCUACGCUUAGGAUGUUGAAGAUGUAGCACAUCAU